rnacentral:rRNA from 1 species
UUCGGAAUGACGAUUUAGUGACUGAGUGGCGGACGGGUGAGUAACGCGUGGGUAACCUGCCUCAUACAGGGGGAUAACAGUUGGAAACGACUGCUAAUACCGCAUAAGCGCACAGUAUCGCAUGAUACAGUGUGAAAAACUCCGGUGGUACGAGAUGGACCCGCGUCUGAUUAGCUAGUUGGUGAGGUAACGGCUCACCAAGGCGACGAUCAGUAGCCGGCCUGAGAGGGUGAACGGCCACAUUGGGACUGAGACACGGCCCAGACUCC